UCCCUGAUGGACUAGUGGCUAGCAUGUGGUGCUCUCACUGCUGUGGCCCAGGUUCGAUUACCGGUCAGGGAA